rnacentral:lncRNA from 1 species
CUCUCUACACUACCUUGAAUCCAGAAAAAAGGGCUACACCAUUUGGGGCAGUAUAAUUAUCUAGUGGUUGUGAGGGUUGCUUGCCUACUACUAAUAAUCAGUUCUAUGUGUUGAGAAUGUUUAGAAAGACACAAGAGUAAUAGUAAGUCAUACACACACACGAUUAGUAGUAAGUCAUAUACACACAAGGGUUUCUAAGGAGAGAGAGCUUCACACACACAAAAAUCUAUUGAUCUGCUUGUGUCUCGUAUACAAGAAGAGAGAAGAUAAGAGGAUGAACAGUACUUCUCUACUAGACUCUAAAUACUGUAGCUACAAUAAUUACUAUAGUCUACAGUAAAUAUUAUGGAGAGCGUCGGCUACAUUUAAUGAUCUCAACACUCCUCCUCGCUCAUCAUAAUAUUUACAUAAUAUCAGAUUUAUAUAGAUUUAUGAUCUAUACUUUUCUGUGAUCUUGUAAGAUCAAGAAUUGUUGCCUCAUUAAAAC